CUGUUUGCCUUCAGAAAAAUUUAACAAAUUAAUCGAAUUGCGCCAGUAUUGCACCAGCAUUGCACAUGAACUACAAUAAAUAAUUUGCUUUAAUAACUCUCACGAAGGAGGGAACGAGAAGUCCAAGUCCAUCCUUCCUUGUGAAAAAGUGGCCGUGAUUCCUUAGCCAAGUACCUACCAAGUUGAAUUGAAAAACACUGCAUUUUCACGAUCUAAGACUCGUACAUAUUAAAUUUAUGCAUCUAAAUUAAUUAUCUGCAAAAUCUUCUAUGUACCUACCUACUUCUUUUUUUUUUUUGAACAUAAUGAAUUAUUAUAAGAGAGUGAUUUUGGCUUAUUUUGUUAUCGAUGGGUUGUCUUUCACGAUAUCGCUAGAAAAUACCACCGAGUGUACCAAACGUGAAAUCAAGUCAACGUCCAAAGAUGUCGAUUAUCGGUGUUCUCAGUCUGCUGAACCAGCACUUCCUCGAAGAAAGUGGAUUUCGCAAUUGUUUCUCGAAGCGCGACAGAAAUUUCAAAUGGGACCAGAUGUGAAUAUCGAAUGCAAAAAGGACUUCGAAUUGUUUCGAUCGCAUCUGAAAAAUCAAUCUGCUUGGGCAAUCAAAAUGAUGGAGUCAUCAGAAUGGCCAGUAGAUGGUAUCCUUUCUAGUGCAGUAAAUUAUAUGGGAAAAUAUGACGAAUGUUUGACUAUUUCCUCGAAUGGGUUCAAUGGAAAAUACUGCCUCGUUGAAGCAAUUCUAUAUGAUUCGCAUACGUUACAGAAUGAGAUCGUUGAAAUACCUAAUGGUUUGAUUUUUUCUGGGGAAGCCAUAACGAUGGUAAGUAGGCAGACCUCUUGAUCACAGAUGAUAAGUACAAUAAGUACAUAUAAACACUUCUACCUUAUAUGUUGCUAUUAUCACUAAACACAUGUUUCAUGAUCUCAUCGUGCAGUACCAAGAAAAUCCUGCUAGGGUUGAUGGAAAUGUCAUAGUAUAUAUGGCCUGUAUUGCAGGGAAUAAUCCUCACGAUUAUUCCUUGUAAUAAUCCAUGUACCAUAACCGUAAAUAGGCGAAGUACCACGAAUAACCUAGAGAAGGGAGAUAGGAUAGGUACCUAUGAUAGGUAGGGGAACUUGUUGAAAUGAAGGUUGGUUAAUGUUGGCUCGGUCUAGUAUGUUGUUAGCAAGAACUAGGAACGUUUUAAUUUUGUCAAACAUCGUGAUUAUAUCGGUUAAUAUUGUACUUUGUUAAUUAUUUGCGAAUUCGCGUAUAAAAUAUGUUAUUUCUUUAUACAAAGUUAUCUAAAUUGAUUGUUACCUUUAAAUACUAAUAAAUCGUGUAGUGUUUAA